UACGGAGGGGGCUAGCGUUGUUCGGAAUCACUGGGCGUAAAGGGUGCGUAGGUGGCGCGGUAAGUCAGAUGUGAAAGCCCGGGGCUCAACCUCGGAAUUGCAUCCGAUACUGCCGUGCUGGAGUACUGAAGAGGUGACUAGGAUUCUCGGUGUAGCAGUGAAAUGCGUAGAUAUCGAGAGGAAUACCAACGGCGAAGGCAGGUCACUGGGCAGUUACUGACACUGAGGCACGAAGGCCAGGGGAGCAAACGGG
rnacentral:rRNA from 1 species